rnacentral:rRNA from 2 species
CUAGCCUUAGCAACGGGCUAUAAUGCAAGUCGAGCGAAUGGAUUAAGAGCUUGCUCUUAUGAAGUUAGCGGCGGACGGGUGAGUAACACGUGGGUAACCUGCCCAUAAGACUGGGAUAACUCCGGGAAACCGGGGCUAAUACCGGAUAACAUUUUGAACCGCAUGGUUCGAAAUUGAAAGGCGGCUUCGGCUGUCACUUAUGGAUGGACCCGCGUCGCAUUAUCUAGUUGGUGAGGUAACGGCUCACCAAGGCAACGAUGCGUACCCGACCUGAGAGGGUGAUCGGCCACACUGGGACUGAGACACGGCCCAGACUCCUACGGGAGGCAGCAAUAGGGAAUCUUCCGCAAUGGACGAAAGUCUGACGGAGCAACGCCGCGUGAGUGAUGAAGGCUUUCGGGUCGUAAAACUCUGUUGUUAGGGAAGAACAAGUGCUAGUUGAAUAAGCUGGCACCUUGACGGUACCUAACCAGAAAGCCACGGCUAACUACGUGCCACCAGCCGCGGUAAUACGUAGGUGGCAAGCGUUAUCCGGAAUUAUUGGGCGUAAAGCGCGCGCAGGUGGUUUCUUAAGUCUGAUGUGAAAGCCCACGGCUCAACCGUGGAGGGUCAUUGGAAACUGGGAGACUUGAGUGCAGAAGAGGAAAGUGGAAUUCCAUGUGUAGCGGUGAAAUGCGUAGAGAUAUGGAGGAACACCAGUGGCGAAGGCGACUUUCUGGUCUGUAACUGACACUGAGGCGCGAAAGCGUGGGGAGCAAACAGGAUUAUAUACCCUGGUAGUCCACGCCGUAAACGAUGAGUGCUAAGUGUUAUAGGGUUUCCGCCCUUUAGUGCUGAAGUUAACGCAUUAAGCACUCCGCCUGGGGAGUACGGCCGCAAGGCUGAAACUCAGAGGAAUUGACGGGCGCCCGCACAAGCGGUGGAUCAUGUGGUUUAAUUCGAAGCAACGCGAAGAACCUUACCAGGUCUUGACAUCCUCUGACAACCCUAGAGAUAGGGUCUUCUCCUUCGGGAGCAGAGUGCACAAGUGGCUGCAUUGCCUGCUCGUCAGCUCGUGAUCGUUGAGAUGAAUGGGCUUAAGUCCCGCCAACGAGCGCACCUUUGAUCUUAGCUGCCAUCAUUUAAAUCGGCCACGUCUAACGUUGACUGCAGAUGCACGACGGAGGAGAUGAGAUGACGUCAAUCAUCAUGCCCGUUAUGACCUGGGCUUACCCUGCUACAUGACGUACAUGACUCAGACGCGAGCUGAGCCUAAUCUCCCUAAAAUCG